AGUUGUCAUUAGAAACACAUGCCCUGAGUAUCCAUCCUGCUGGUCCUAGAAGAAUAACAGACACUAGAGAAUGCCUGAACUUAACCUGUGUUGGGCACCCAAGCCCACCGGGUCCAGCGGAAUGCUAGACAACCUGGAGAUGCCUGAAUAAGAUGCAAAUGCUUGUUUUCAUGAGCUACUGUGUUUUGAGAUGGUUUAUUCUGUGUCAUUUUUGUGACACUAGCCAAUUAAAACAGUACCUGCUGCAUAGAGGUAUUAUAAAGGUAAUUAGGCACUGUGUUGUUAUUAAAAAGAAAAAAUAAGAGAUGUUGGCAAGGAUGUGAAGAAAAGGAAACUCUUAUACACUGUUGGUGGGAAUGUAAACUAGUACAGCCAUUAUGGAAAA
rnacentral:lncRNA from 1 species